rnacentral:rRNA from 1 species
UACGGGGGGGGCAAGCGUUGUUCGGAAUUACUGGGCGUAAAGAGCUCGUAGGCGGUGUGUCGCGUCGGCCGUGAAAACCUGCAGCUUAACUGUGGGCUUGCGGUCGAUACGGGCAUCACUGGAGUUCGGCAGGGGAGACUGGAAUUCCUGGUGUAGCGGUGAAAUGCGCAGAUAUCAGGAGGAACACCGGUGGCGAAGGCGGGGUCUCUGGG